rnacentral:lncRNA from 1 species
CGCUGACCCCCCCGCCCCGCGUUAGAUGUGCUUCGGGGCCCCGCUGCCUCUCCUGCCAGUGAAAAGUUAACGGGGAAGGAGUUGCUUCCUGAGCAGUUCGGGGACGACAAGCUGUUUAAAGCGACGGGUUUUACGUCAGCUGCGCUGGCUGCUCCUCAGGGUGAAGUUGGUCCCUGGUCUUGGUUUGGGUGCUGCAAAGCAGAGGAAGCCAAGUCACUCUCAGGUCGUUGCACGUGGUGCGUGAAGGCCACAGUCUCGGCCUCGGCGCUCGAUCCCCGGGAAGCAUCAAGGGAUGGGGAGAUGACACCUGCGUCCUUACCCCCACCCGCUGGCUCCCAGGGAAGCCGGGGGAGCCGGCCACAUCCUUUUAAAGGACUGAGCACUACAUUUCUGCAAAUAAUCCUGUUCGUUUCAGUGCGACUCUAGAAGCGAGCAAAUACCCUCUCACCGGAGCGGGCCAGGCAGGAGGAAGGAGUCGCAGUCUCCUGGGUACCUCUGGGUACCUUCUGGUACCCUCUCAGGGUACGACGUUACAAGGUCUAUCAGGAGGGCUUCGUUUGCUUACAAAUCUCAAGCAGGUUGGCCAUGCUGAUCUAUUUAUAGAUGUUUUAGACAUUCUGGGAAUUAAGUGCAUUGCGCUGUGCUAACCGGUGUGUGCUUUUGCCCAGACGAAGGGCUGGGAAAGCUAUCGUUAAUGUGGCUCCGUGAACGUCACUGGAAGCUGGACUGGACCCAGGAAUGCGUGUGAAACGGUGGCACUUUGUAUACAGAAGUCCCUGAUUUUGGUAACGUUGCUGCAGUUUUAAAAGCCAGCAGAGCAAAAAAAAAGCUAAACGCAGAAGGUGAUAAUGUGGCUUGUAGGUACCUAGCUUUCAGAGAGCUGUUUACUCAGCUGUUUCUGAAAAGAAAGUCUCUUUAAACUGUUUCACAGUGAGAAUCAUCCCAAAAUUGAGGCAGAGUACGGGGGCCAUNNNNNNNNNNNNNNNNNNAAGCAGCGCCACUUUCAUUACUUACUGCAGUGAACCAGGGCUGUACAAGGCGAAAAGGUGCUGGAAAAGAAUAGGCAUGUUAUUUGAAGGGUACAUAAGUUCCCUGAAAUUUCUGCUGUUUUUAUUGUAUACUUGAGGCUUAAAUUGUGACAGAAACGGGAACUGAACACAAAAGAGUUUGCUGCGGGCAGCAGCCUACAUCCUGUUCUUCAGUUCAUGGAGGAAAAACCCUUUCCUGCUUUUUUUUUUCUUCUUCAUUUCCCUAUUGUAAAAUUAAAAAAAAAACCACACACAAAACAGGAAAAUGUAGCUUCUAGCUGAUAUAAAUGUUUUUAAUGUUCUGUUCGUGCUUCCUUUUCUCUGCAUGGUAGGAUGAAGAAGCCGUGAAUUUCACAGUGGCAUUCNNNNNNNNNNNNGAAAAUUCACAGCAUUUCUUUGCUGUGACAGCAAGCCAGCAGAGCAUUUUGAAUGCAGGAAUACAUUAAGCAAAUGAGCAAUCCUACUAAAAUCGGUGGGACAACCUGCAGGCGUGAAAUUCUGCGUGUCCUGAAGGGCUGGGGUGCCUCAGGGUCUGUAUGGGGGGAAAAGCAAGCACACCAGUGUGUGCCCCAGUUCGGGGACUACUUGAUUUGCUCUAGCUACAGUUAAGGCAUUUCCAAAAUGUUUAUAGUCUCAGGAGUUUUUCUGACAUAUUUUUCAGUGAAGAUAUCAAUUAAUUUCCAUAUUAACUCUUUUAUUCCACUGUGAAGAAGCGAAAAGGAAGCAUAAGUACAGACUUACAGCUGGUAACAGUCUGAGGGCUAUUAUUUAUUCUAGAAAUGCAUCAGUAAAACCGAUAAGCCUAUUUUCUCCUGUGACCUUUGUGUAUUCUGCUGUGUGUACCGUAGAGCAUUACAAAUGGAGUAUUGUAGUCAGUUAAGCCUAGAGAAGACACUACUUUGUACAUAGGUUUUAGUUUAGGGUUGAUCUUGUGGAAUUAUUACAUUUCCUGAUGUAGCUUCCCUCCCCUUGGUGGAAUCACACCAGAAUAAUCGCAUAGCCUACUUUCUUCCUGCCGUGAACACAGCGGGAAAACUUUGAUACGUGUCGUCAUUUGGGAGUUAUCUAGGGCCCAGUGAACACAAUGGGCUAAAGCAAAUAGGAAACGGCAUCAGGCAAUUUGGUACACCUGACUUAAAGUCAGGAGAGACAGGAUAGUCAUCCUGGCCCAUGGGGGAUUUACUGUGUUGCCCUGGGCAGCUGCCUCUUUGCUUCCUAUUCCUUGCAUAUAAAAGGGAUGUAAUUAUAAGCAAGACCUGUAAUUGUUUUUCUGUUGAUCUGUCAGGACUGGCUAGCUAACACAUCUGAAAUGUUUUGAACGUAUCAACUGGUUUGUAAGCAUAAAGCAUUGUAUUUUUAUGGUCUGGAGUUAAGACUUUCCUCGUCCUGCAUUGAGAGUUGCAUCUAUCAGUACUGACUGUGCCAGACUGCAACGGCACGGUACAACCACCUUACCAUUGCCUUAAACUAAAAGAAAAAGGUUAUGUCAGCCUUUGAAUAACACUGUAUGUUGCUUUUCUGUUGGAACUAAUAAAAUCUAAAGAAAAUAUAUCA